rnacentral:lncRNA from 1 species
GAAAAUUUUGACUUUCGUUCACUCUGCAAACUCUUGGAAAGUGUUAUUUAAGAAGCCUAGAUAUGCCGUAUGUAAGAAUAAACGCCACUCUCUAACAGACGCCUUUAUCUAAUAAACGGAUCAUUUACGGUACUUUGUGCCAUGAGAGUUGAUCAUCAGAUUUAUAAUUUCAUGUCCUGUAGAUACUAAAUAUGCACACAAAAGAAAAUAAAUAACAUUGACUGAAACCUGAUCAUAAAACACCGGCCAUGAGUUCUAACUCUUCAAUGAUGGUUACGGUUCAGGGUUGUUUAAUGCUCAGGCUUCAGUCAAUGUUAUUUAUUUCCCUUUCAUUUGCAUAUUUAGCAUCUACACGACAUGAAAUUAUAACCAUCAUCAAUGACCUGCACUUGGGUUAACUCGCUGAUCUCAAACCUAGCGCUGGAUAGUGCAUCCUCUAUGCAGAAAUAAAGGCAAUGUCGGCCAUAUUGAUGUGAGCAGCACAAAUCUACUGUGGUGUUGAUGACAUAGUGUAAGAGGUUCUUACAGUUUCUAGUUAUCGCUGAGAAAGGAUAAACAUUGUCUGAAUAGAAAUUUAUCAACAGUCGUCUCUCUUGCCCCUUAAGUUUGCGCGUGAAUAACUGAUGUCACACCAAGAUGGCUGCCACAAGUCUCAUUAUCUAGUGUUUAAAACGUUCUAAAACUCAUUAGAAGAAAUAUGGGAAGCUAAAUUUUUUAAGUGACAUUGGAAAAGACAUUUGCUUCAUAAUGUUGCUAAUUUAAACAUGUCGUGAUCCGAUUUGCAGAGAUUUUGACAGACUUUAAGAUCUCAUCUCAUUAUAAAUAUUCUGACUUCAAAAUUGGUUUAUUGAAUACAAAAGGAACUCUAUCCAGUGUUUUGAGAUCAGUGGGUUAACUGUACUGUGAAGCGUAUUGUGUUUCCACUUUAUAUACAACUUGUAUAAUUUCUAUGUAAAUAUUGUAUGUAUAAAUUACUUUUCUACGGAAGCCGUGAAGGGACUUCAGACUUCAGACUUCGGACUUCAGAGUUCAGACUUCAGACUUCAAACAUUGGUUCCGAGCUUCGCUAAUAGCCAACAUUGCUUCUGCAAAGCUGGCUAAUAUUUAAGGCACAUAUUCAGUCAGAGCUAUUCAAACUAAAGUCAAAAAUGGUCAGAAUGAUUUAGAUUGCAAAUGCAGACUGUUGGAAUGUGUCAGUGAGUUCUGAAAGUUCUUUGCAGGUUUAAAGGCAGAACGAUAAAACAUAUAAUACUAUUGUUUGUAGAAACACCACAUAAAUUUAUUACUGCAGUAAAUUUAUUAACUUUAUUCUGUAAAUUUAUCAAGUUAAGUAUAACACGCGCUCAAAACUAAUGCGUAUAAUAUACCACUUGAGGUUAUGACUAAAUUCAAAAUUUUUAUUUUUCGAAACGUUUCUCAAUCGGCAACAAACUUAAAAAGUAUGUUUAGUGCUUUAUCUGUAAAAUAAUGCUAAAUUGAAAAGAUUUUAGACUACGCCAAAGAGAAAAUUAUGUAGUGAAGUUCAGUAAGUUUUGCUUAUAUUGCUCAGCUUAAAUAUGGCGUCAAUUUUAAAGCAUCAUUGAUAAUUGUAUUUUAAUUGACAAUUUUUAACUAUGAUUUUAUGUUUCUCAACCGGCAGAUGCA